rnacentral:rRNA from 1 species
GACGAACGCUGGCGGCGUGCUUAACACAUGCAAGUCGAACGCUGAAGCCCUUCGGGGUGGAUGAGUGGCGAACGGGUGAGUAACACGUGGGUAAUCUGCCCUGCACUCUGGGAUAAGCCUUUGAAACGGGGCCUAAUCCCGGAUAGGACAAAUCGCCGCAUGGUGUGUGUGUGGAAAGUCACGGCGGGGCAGGGUGAGCCCGCGGCCUAUCAGCUUGUUGGUGGGGUGAUGGCCUGCCAAGGCGAGGACGGGUAGCCGGCCGGGGAGGGUGACCGGCCACACUGGGACUGAGACACGGCCCAGACUCCUACGGGAGGCAGCAGUGGGGAAUCUUGCGCAAUGGGCGAAAGCCUGACGCAGCAACGCCGCGUGGGGGAUGACGGCCUUCGGGUUGUAAACCUCUUUCAACCGGGACGAAGGAUUCGUUUGACGGUACCGGUAGAAGAAGCACCGGCUAACUACGUGCCAGCCGCCGCGGUAA